GAUGAACGCUGACGGCGUGCCUAAUACAUGCAAGUCGAGCGAACGGACGAGAAGCUUGCUUCUCUGAUGUUAGCGGCGGACGGGUGAGUCACACGUGGAUAACCUACCUAUAAGACUGGGAUAACUUCGGGACACCGGAGCUAAUACCGGAUAAUAUUUUGAUCCGCAUGGUUCAAAAGUGAAAGACGGUCUUGCUGUCACUAAUCGCUGGAUCCGCGCUGCAUGAGCUAGUUGGUAAGGUAACGGCUUACCAAGACAACGAUGCGUAGCCGACCUGAGAGGGUGAUCGGCCACACUGGAACUGAGACACGGUCCAGACUCCUACGGGAGGCAGCAGUAGGGAAUCUUCCGCAAUGGGCGAAAGCCUGACGGAGCAACGCCGCGUGAGUGAUGAAGGUCUUCGGAUCGUAAAACUCUGUUAUGAGGGAAGAACAUAUGUGUAAGUAACUGUGCACAUCUUGACGGUACCUAAUCAGAAAGCCACGGCUAACUACGUG
rnacentral:rRNA from 1 species